GGGCGCUUAGCUCAGUUGGUCCAGAGCGCUACCUUCACACGGUAGAGGUCGCAGGUUCGAAUCCUGCAGCGCCCACAA
rnacentral:tRNA from 2 species